CGUGCCUUUUCCUUCCUCUUUACUUCUUCCCUCCUCACUGUACCAUGUUUCGGAUUUUCUUGGGCAUCAAGUUGGGUUCCCGCCGAGUGUGCUUCCCAAUUUGAAGUCCAGGAUUUUUCGCCUAUUCCAGUGCAGAGUUCACACGGCGGUUUGGGCAGGGUGCACAAUUUCCAUUUGCCCAUAUUUCUGUUCUUGUAGUAUGGGUCAAGUUUAUGGUUUGCCAUUUGUUCGUGCGUUUGGCUUUGGGUUGGGGAGUCCCAGAGGCAUCAACCAGCAUAGCAUUCGCAGGUUGCAUCCUUCCCUCCGUCUUGAGUCUCAUCACCCUCCAAAACUCCAACUCUAGACGGAACAGUUCCGGACGAAGAGACGGAUCCAGAUUCAAGGUUCCAGACCUGAUCUUCCCAAAGAUGGUGGUGUCGAGGAUGACACACGACUCCUCUCGAGUGCGAUACGAUGACGAAAUUGACAGGAGGGAAAUUUGCGCUUGAGUUUCUCCAACGACAGUGUUUCCGAAGAUCAAGAGCCGUUCAUGGUGACCAUGGUCAUGAGCAAAAAUGAGUAGGUUUUAAAGGUGAAAGUUUGGUCUCGGCAAAUUCUGAUAUUCUUGAAGGAGUGGAUGAUCUGAUGCAACUUAGUUAUUUAAAUGAACAUUUGGUUUUCUACAAUUUGCAACACGAUCCAAUCAAAAUAUGAUUUAUAUGAAGUAAAUCAAUCCAUUAUUAUAAGCGGCGAAAGUGGAGCUGAAAAAACUUACACAGCAAAGAUAACAAUGCAUUACUUGGCUGCUUUGGGUGGUGGAAGUGGAAUAGAGUAUGAGAUAUUGAAGACUAAUCCAAUACUAGAAGCCUCUUGUAAUGCAAAGACGUUGAGAAAUGACAACUCAAGUCAUUUUGUAAGAUCCGCAUCUGUCAUGAUAAAUCUUUUAGUUGAUCUUUUCUCAGGUCUUUGGAGUAAUGCAUGUUAGUUUACUUUGAAUUUUGUGAUUGAAACCGUGUGUUUUUGCUUCCCUAAGAAAUUUUUAACUGACUAUGUUCUUAAAUAUUUGUCUGCCUAUUGAUUAUGAUGUUCCCAGUGUAACAUGAACAGUUUUGCUGGAAAAGGACACUGUUCAUUCUUUUAGCUGUAUAUUUACAUUAUC